rnacentral:sRNA from 2 species
ACUGUUUCAUAUCUCAACAACUUUAUAAGAUAAAAGUUACUAAUUUUGUAUAGAUAAAAUGUAGACUGUUAGGUUUGUUUAAUCUACUGCAUUAUUUAUAAAGAUAAUUUUUCAAUAUUAGAAAAUAUCUGAUAAAAAUUUGUGGUUCCUACACUAUGCUGCAACUUACUGGCGCUUGCCGUGGAGAGGCGGUGGGGAUGCGUGGCCAUGGCCGUUGUGGGCUGGGCCACACCACCACACCCACAGGUAUGUAUAUCCCUAUGAGCACAACCAUUUAACAAAUGGUUACGUUGGCCUUUUUCUAUAUAGUGUUAGCUUUAUCACAAAUUAAUAAGUCAAGAAGAUCUUCAAAAAUAUUGACUUCUUUCAAAUAAAUUUAUAUAUAUCUUUUAAUGUAGUUCACCACAUUCUCGUUAGCCUGACCAUGUGAUAUGGCCCAAUUGAAUUUCUCACACAUCAACCUCAUAUAGUUAUUCAUAAUAAAAGA